CUGUCAGUCCGCAGUUAAAACAUAACCAGCAAAAACACGUCUAUCAGUUGUUCUCCGCCGACCAGCCGAGGCAGAGCAGGCUUUCCCUCCGCAGAGGCCAUCUCUGAGCGCAGGUCUCAGACCCUCAACUCUUAAUCAUUCUGCCUUUUUUCUUUUGAGAACCGCCGCAACAUUUUGAAAACAUUUUUUUUAUUUUCUUCUUCUUUCUUUCUUUUUUUCCCUGAAAGAAAAUUGUUCCUUUUGUGCUCCUGCCGUCGGCCCCCUGCGUGGAUGUCCCCAGGUGUCCAAUUCAGAAACGCUUUCAGGGCCACCGUCGGCGGCACGCUUUGGAUAACCCUGAUGCACGUCAUCCUUCCUUCAGGACAGAGUCCUCCCCUUAGACACUGAAUCUAACAUUUAAAACUCAUUCUUAAUGCUGCCGGUUUGAAGAAUGAAAAGCGGUGGGUGGAAAACCCCCGUUGAUUUGUUUCUGAAAGGUUUGGCUGGUUUAAUCUAAGGGAGGACAAGGAGAAGGCCGCUCAGGACUGCCAGUUCUGCCGCGGCCUUCAGGAGGAGGAGGAGAGCCGCCGCCAAGGUUUACCCAAACGCUGCCCUGUCCUCAAGGCUUGAGCUGCCUUAAGGAGUCAGAUGGGUUUGAUGGGUCCGGAGUGGCGUGGAAGACUAGUGAUUUUGUUGUUUUGUUGUUCGACAGACAACAAGUCAUUGUCUCCCUCCCUGCUUUGAGACACGAGCUCAAUGAAACCUGUCUGCUCUUCCUCGACUCGAUCCAUUCUGUUUGUGAAGAGCGUUUUUACAUCAUACUGAUGAAGUUCUGCAGCAAAAUGAAAUGCUUACCCUUUAUAGGAAAGGUUGCAUUUAUUUAUUUAUUUUUAAAUGUUUAAAUCUAUCCUGGUAGCUGUAUUUUAUAUCCAUUAACUCCUUACAGAGCUGCUUCCAACAUUUUAGAGAGUAGAUUUCUGCUUUUCAGCGUUCUGCAACAAUUAAGUUCUGUUUUUCUCAUUUAUAAGGUUAAUUAUUCCCGUAUCUGUUAGUUCAUCUGAUUAUCAAACAGGACUCAGCUCUUGAUUAUUUUCUGUGUGGAGCGACGAGUGACAGAGCGGCUGAUAAGCAACAGGUCAGAGGUGAUGCAGAUACUGGUGUUUACUGCACUGAGCGGAUCGGAUCAGAUCCAGACAUUUUCAGUUCAUCUUUAUCUCUUGACAUUUUUCACUGUUUUAGAAGUGAAUUUUAACACAAAGCAGAAAAAACAACUCUUAAGUUUUUAAUCCCUUUUAUUGAUGGAGUUGAAAUGAAACAGUAAAACUUAACAGUCGGCAGUGUUUAGCGUUCAGAGUAGAUUCUGAGUCCGUUUUUUUUGUUGGGGUGGAUGUUCACUGAGGUGGCAUCAGGGCCUUGGACUGCUCCAUCACCUGCUGCAGAAACUUCUCCAUCAUGUCAGUCAGGGGCUUCACCUGAGCCUGCAGGUUUUCGGUCAGGGGCUGGACCUGAGAGUUGAGGUCGUCCGUCAGGGGCCGGACGUGCUCCUCGAUGUUGGAGAUGAACGGCUUGACCUGCUCCUGCAGCUUGGCGGCCUCAGCCUGGACCUUCUCCACCAGAGGCUGGAUCCUGGCCCUGCUGCCCUCCAUGUAGGUCCUACAGCGAAGGGACAGAGAAAGAAAUCUGUGAAAGCUGCAAAAAAGAAACAUUCACCUACAAAGAUGACGGCCUGUGCUUUAAUAUUUGAUUCUUUGGGUGUGUAAAAAACUUCUGUGCUACAGAUUUUAUUUUAUAAAGACAAAAAAGUUCAAUAAAGUCAACUUUGUAAAGU